CACAUUUUGUUAUCAUUACAGCCAUAUAUACAAUCAUUGAAAUACAUCUACACUGUGAACUAAAGAAAUGGCUACUACAUCCAAGGACAGCAGCAGGCGUGAAAAUUACCCAACCCCGGCACAGGAAGGUAGUGACGAAUAAAAUACAGAUGCGGGACUCAAUUCAAGCUCCGUAAUUCGAAUGAGUACAAUUUAAAUCAUUUAACGAGGACCAAUCGGAAGGCAAGUCUGGUGCCAGCAGCCUCGGAAACUCUAGUCCCAAAAGUGUG
rfam:Schistosoma haematobium scaffold185_20, whole genome shotgun sequence.